rnacentral:lncRNA from 1 species
AAACUUUCAAGAAUUCGUCUUAACUUUAAAAUUAGAUAAAACAAUGAUUUAAAAUUUUUAGUAGUUCAGAUAUACGGAAGCGUAUUAGCGCCACUUUUUUUUUUAUUGUUCUUCCUAUGUUUGCGUUUUAACGCAAACUUUUGCGAUAUAACGCAAACCUUAACAAAGUAGUACUAUCAGCAUUGGUUCUCGCAGAUACAUAAUACAUCUAGGAGUUAAUUAUACCCCCGCUUUAAAAAAGGGGGGGUAUACUGUUUUACCUCUGUGUCCAUCAGUCCGUCCGUCCGUCAGUCCGUCCAUCAGUCCGUCAGUCAGUCCGUCCCAUGAAACUUUCGUCACAUUUUUCUCAGGAACUACAAU